rnacentral:rRNA from 1 species
UACGAAGGGGGCUAGCGUUGUUCGGAAUCACUGGGCGUAAAGCGCACGUAGGCGGAUUUGUAAGUCAGGGGUGAAAUCCCGGGGCUCAACCUCGGAACUGCCUUUGAUACUGCAAGUCUUGAGUUCGGGAGAGGUGAGUGGAAUUCCUAGUGUAGAGGUGAAAUUCGUAGACAUUAGGAAGAACACCAGUGGCGAAGGCGGCUCACUGGCCCGAUACUGACGCUGAGGUGCGAAAGCGUGGGGGGCAAACAGG